AGAUUGAACGCUAGCGGCAUGCCUAACACAUGCAAGUCGAACGGUAACAGGCCCUUCGGGUGCUGACGAGUGGCGGACGGGUGAGUAAUGCGUAGGAAUCUACCCACGAGUGGGGGAGUAGCCCGGACGAAAUACCGGAUUAAUACCGCAUAUGCCCUACGGGUAAAGGACGGGGAGUCGUAAGACCCGCCGCUGUGGAUGAGCCUACGUCCGAUUAGUUAGUUGGU
rnacentral:rRNA from 1 species